UCCGAUGUGGUGUAUCGGCUAGCAUCACCCGCUUUCAUUAUGUAUUUCUUGUCUACUGAAGGUUGCCGGGUAGAGCCGGGUUCGACUCCCGGCAUCGGAA